rnacentral:rRNA from 1 species
GGAUUCCCUCAGUAACGGCGAGUGAAGCGGGAAGAGCUCAAAUUUGAAAUCUCCGAUGCCUGCAUCGGCGAGUUGUAGUUGCGAGAAGCACUUUCUAGGUGGAUCGGCGGUGCCUAAGUUGCUUGGAACAGCACGUCGCAGAGGGUGACAACCCCGUCUGUGGCGCCGCCGGCCGCUGACGAUGCGCUUUCCAAGAGUCGGGUUGUUUGGGAAUGCAGCCCAAAAUGGGUGGUAAACUCCAUCUAAAGCUAAAUACUGGCGUGAGACCGAUAGCGAACAAGUACCGUGAGGGAAAGAUGAAAAGAACUUUGAAAAGAGAGUUAAAAAGUACGUGAAACCGUCGGAAGGGAAACGAAUGGACUCAGCAAUGCGCCCUCUGAGAUUCAGCCGGUGGGUGGGCGGCGGCGGCGGGUUUGCGGAUCUGAAUGGACCGCGGCCCGGCGCCCGCCUCCCCCCGCCGUCGCACUUCUCUGGGGCGCGCGUCAACGUGGGUUGGGACUGGGUCUGAAAGGUGCCGGGAAGGUAGGCGUGGGCCCCCGGGCUCCGCGCUGUUACAGCCCGGUUCUCUCAUGGCUCGGGCCCGACCGAGGAAAGCGUAGCGACGCGGGGCAUGCCUCCUGUGGCUAGGGUCCCGUCCUUCCGGCCGGUUGUCCAGUGCGGUGGACUGCUUGCAGUGCUCCGCGACGGCUGCCGGUCGUUGGGGUGGUGAUCUCGUACCAUGCCCCUGGGAUGUUGGCGGUCAU